CCGCCGCCGCCCCGGCUGCCGGCUUCGCCAGGCAGACCUACUGCCUGGCGUCCCGUGUCUUUUUAUACUUGGGAGUUUCCCCGUUCUGUGGGCAACAAAGAUCAGUCUGGAAAUGCAGCACUGACUCACCGUUUGCGAAUUCAACGCGGGCUCCAAUCCUGGGUUGUUCUCACAGCGCCAUCUUGAGUCCCCUCCUCCACCUCUUUUCUUAAUAAUGGAGAGAGACUGGCCCAUUACCUUAAUCAGCCAGCAUUUUUGAAAGAUGAUAUGGUGCUGGAGAGAGAGACAAUAAACAUGUUAUGAUGUAAGGAAGCAUGAAAUUAAUGAGGGCAGAGAGGUGAAACUGCUUCCAGAUUGGCUUCCAUCCAAUGCUUGAGGCAUCUUGGAGAUUGUCAAUGAUCUACAUAACUUUCCUAUGUAUACAAUAGGAAGAGUUAAUUCAAGACCAGUGCAUAUGAUGCAGGAGGUGGGGCAAAUGAAGAGCUGUGGCAGGAGAGGAGGGCAGGUAGUUGGAGGCAAGUCCAC
rnacentral:lncRNA from 13 species